UUUCUGACUUGUGAAGUUAUUUACACAGAGCAUCUUCCAAGGUAUACAAUUUAAAUCAUGUGUAGUAACGCACUUGAUGAAUUAUCUUUCUAAAGGCUACAGAAUCUGCAAAUAAUUUGAACUUUUCUCUAUUGAGAAAUAAUUCUCUGAUUGGGCCAAAAUGUUAGGAGAUUUAUUUUAGAAGUUAAGCUGGAUUCAUGUAAGUAAACGCAGUAAUUCACACAAGUAAUUCGUGUAAGUAAAUACAGCCACCGGAAUUGUGUAGAAGAGUAUCGAACAAUAGGGAACAGUGUCCAUGGGGUGCUGUUGAGAGAGCAAAAGCUUUGGUGUGAUCCAGAACAGUGUUUUCAUACUUUAUUGACAGUGCUCCGUACUCAGAAAGGUAUUAGUGACACGUGCACAGCCCCCAGCCCUGCCCCCUGACACACACCUGAGAUAGAGUUUCACGAUAUCAAGACUCUCUUUUCUUAUUUCAUUUUUUUCAUUUAAUAGGAGUUUUAUGAAACCUCUAUUCUCGUCUCUCAUCUGUUCCUUUUUAACGCUGGUCACCGCAUCCGAAUCAAUCUCGUGGCAUGCUAAUGUGGGUCACGACCUGUAAGUUGAAAGGCACUGACAGAGAAGAUGAACAGCAACCACCCUACCGAGUGAGUGCUACACCACAUCAAUUCACAUGAAUUAAAACAGCUAACUUGGCCACAACCCUAUCAUGCAGUGAUGACUUUUAGUCCAUUUUAUACAUGAGGUAUAUUGCUUGUAAUAUUACAUUUGAUCAGUCCUUAAUACGUAUGGAAGAACAAAGUCUGGAGAUCCGCACCAGAGUGGAGCCAGGGGUUGUCUCCAAGGAAUAUAUGUAUUUCCACUCUUUUAAAAUUAAAAUGAUACUUUGGCAAUAAAAUAGUUUAUGGAAUUUACCUGAUCAAUGUUUUUAUUGAUCUAUUUCUGAAUUUGGUAACGAUGUUGUUGGAAGAAUUCAUCUUGUUAAACAUAUUUUUAUUCUUCUAAAUGUUUCUAAAUAUCCUCUUGAGAGUCUCUAAGCAAUUUAGUUAUUGAGAGAGGUUUUAUAAAAUGAUUUCCAUGAUCAUUGACGGCUCCUCCGACUUCCGAGGGUUGUUAAUCAGUAGAAAUCAAGUGUCAAGGUC
rnacentral:lncRNA from 13 species